UACGGAGGGAGCUAGCGUUGUUCGGAAUUACUGGGCGUAAAGCGCACGUAGGCGGUUAUUCAAGUCAGAGGUGAAAGCCCGGGGCUCAACCCCGGAACUGCCUUUGAAACUAGAUGACUAGAAUCUUGGAGAGGUCAGUGGAAUUCCGAGUGUAGAGGUGAAAAUUCGUAGAUAUUCGGAAGAACACCAGUGGCGAAGGCGACUGACUGGACAAGUAUUGACGCUGAGGUGCGAAAGCGUGGGGAGCAAACAGG
rnacentral:rRNA from 1 species